rnacentral:rRNA from 1 species
AGAGAGAGACAUGCGCGCAUAUCAAUAAGCGGAGGAAAAGAAACUAACAAGGAUUCCCUUAGUAACGGCGAGUGAAGCGGGAAGAGCUCAAAUUUGAAAUCUUCAAGGUUUUACCUUGACGAAUUGUAGUUUAAAGAAGUGUUUUCUGCUGAAGUUUUGGUAAAAGUUCUUUGGAAUAGGACAUCAUAGAGGGUGAGAAUCCCGUAUUUGACCAUUAUUUUCAGCUUUGUGAUACACUUUCAAAGAGUCGGAUUGUUUGGGAAUGCAGUCCAAAAUGGGUGGUAAAUUUCAUCUAAAGCUAAAUAUUGGCGAGAGACCGAUAGCGAACAAGUACCGUGAGGGAAAGAUGAAAAGAACUUUGAAAAGAGAGUUAAACAGUACGUGAAAUUGUCAAAAGGGAAGCGUUUGACACCAGUGUUGUUUUCUCGAAAAUCAAUUAAAAAUGGCUCGAUUUUGUAUUGCUUGAGACCUUAAAAGCUCACUGUACAUUUUUCGUGUCUUUUUUAAUGCACUUUUCGUUUAACAAGUCAACAUCAGUUUCUUUCGUUGUAAAAGGGUCAUUGGAAGGUGGCUUUCUUUUCGGAGAAAGUGUUUAUAGCCUUUGGCCUCUGCAAUCGGAGAGACUGAGGUCUGCAGCGUAGACUCUUCGGGGUUAGAUACAUUUGUGCUAAGUUAUAGCUUUUUAUAGACAACUUGUUGACUAUAAUUAGUCUUGUAGCUUACUCGCUUAUGCUAUUUUACCUACGCUUAGGAUGUUGAGUCGUAGAGCACGCAG